GGAAAGAACUACAUUUCCCAGCAUUCCCUUGGACACUACCAACUGGAAAGGAGGGGCGGACCCUCAUGCUGCAGUGUGCUGUGAGUGGAGAGCUGCACUGUGAAGGAAGUGCCAGAUUGACAGCUCUUGGAGUUGGAAAUCCGGUAUCUGCCAGUGAUUAGAGCCUUCUUAGGACAGGCCGAAAGGUGGUGUGGAAACAUUAAAGGUCAAAUCUGAAAGGACGCGUAUAUCCUUAACUUCCAGGAGGGAAACCAGUUUGAAAGAUGAAAAUCAACUUGCAUUGACCUUAGCUAAAAAUGGCACAGGGAAGCGAAGCAAUCAGAGUGCUGCUAGUGAGCAGCUCUGUGAAGUUCACCAAGCAGGUGGCUACAUGGAGACUCCUGACUGCACUAAUGAAGUUAGCCAAAAUAAGCUCUAUCCAGAGUGCUUCUUUCAUUCCCACCUCUAACAUCUGUCAAGUGAAAUUCAUCUGUACCACAAAUCAGGGAAACCAAUGCCAGUG